AGAGUUUGAUCCUGGCUCAGGACGAACGCUGGCGGCGUGCCUAACACAUGCAAGUCGAGCGGUGAAAUCCCUUCGGGGAUGGAUUAGCGGCGGACGGGUGAGUAACACGUGGGUAACCUGCCUCAAAGAGGGGGAUAGCCUCCCGAAAGGGAGAUUAAUACCGCAUAAUAUUAGUUUUUCGCAUGAAGAACUAAUUAAAGGAGUAAUCCGCUUUGAGAUGGACCCGCGGCGCAUUAGCUAGUUGGUGAGGUAACGGCUCACCAAGGCGACGAUGCGUAGCCGACCUGAGAGGGUGAUCGGCCACAUUGGAACUGAGACACGGUCCAGACUCCUACGGGAGGCAGCAGUGGGGAAUAUUGCACAAUGGGCGAAAGCCUGAUGCAGCAACGCCGCGUGAGUGAUGAAGGCUUUCGGGUUGUAAAGCUCUGUCUUUGGGGACGAUAAUGACGGUACCCAAGGAGGAAGCCACGGCUAACUACGUGCCAGCAGCCGCGGUAAUACGUAGGUGGCGAGCGUUGUCCGGAUUUACUGGGCGUAAAGGAUGCGUAGGCGGAUAUUUAAGUGAGAUGUGAAAUACCCGGGCUUAACUUGGGUGCUGCAUUUCAAACUGGAUAUCUAGAGUGCGGGAGAGGAGAAUGGAAUUCCUAGUGUAGCGGUGAAAUGCGUAGAGAUUAGGAAGAACACCAGUGGCGAAGGCGAUUCUCUGGACCGUAACUGACGCUGAGGCAUGAAAGCGUGGGUAGCAAACAGGAUUAGAUACCCUGAUAGUCCACGCCGUAAACGAUGAGUACUAGGUGUAG
rnacentral:rRNA from 1 species